AUCCCUCCGGGGCGUAUGGGCGAUGAUGAAUGGGACUGCACGCGGCUGCGUGAUGUGUGCGACCUCGUUACGACGUGGCACAGACCCAUCUGAGC